AACGCACAUUGCGCCCGCCAGUAUUCUGGCGGGCAUGCCUGUUCGAGCGUCAUUUCAACCCUCAAGCCCCCGGGCUUGGUGUUGGGGAUCGGCCGCCCUCUCCGGCGCGCCGGCCCCGAAAUCUAGUGGCGGUCUCGCUGUAGCCUCCUCUGCGUAGUAGCACACCUCGCACCGGAACGCAGCCUGGCCACGCCGUUAAACCCCCCACUUCUGAAGGUUGACCUCGGAUCAGGUAGGAAUACCCGCUGAACUUAA
rnacentral:misc_RNA from 1 species